CAGUCGCCGCGGUAAAACGUAGGGUGCGAGCGUUAAUCGGAAUUACUGGGCGUAAAGCGUGCGCAGGCGGUUUUGUAAGACAGGCGUGAAAUCCCCGGGCUCAACCUGGGAAUGGCGCUUGUGACUGCAAAGCUAGAGUGCGGCAGAGGGGGAUGGAAUUCCGCGUGUAGCAGUGAAAUGCGUAGAUAUGCGGAGGAACACCGAUGGCGAAGGCAAUCCCCUGGGCCUGCACUGACGCUCAUGCACGAAAGCGUGGGGAGCAAACAGGAUUAGAUACCCCCGUAGUCCCUGUCUCUUAUAC
rnacentral:rRNA from 1 species